rnacentral:rRNA from 1 species
UGAACGCUGGCGGCGUGCCUACUACAUGCACGUCGAGCGAACGGACGAGAAGCUUGCUUCUCUGAUGUUAGCGGCGGACGGGUGAGUAACACGUGGAUAACCUACCUAUAAGACUGGGAUAACUUCGGGAAACCGGAGCUAAUACCGGAUAAUAUUUUGAACCGCAUGGUUCAAAAGUGAAAGACGGUCUUGCUGUCACUUAUAGAUGGAUCCGCGCUGCAUUAGCUAGUUGGUAAGGUAACGGCUUACCAAGGCAACGAUGCAUAGCCGACCUGAGAGGGUGAGAGGGCAAGCGGGAAGUGAGAAACGGAAAGGGGGACUACGCGAAGCAGGAGAGGGGAAUGGUGGGCAAAAGGCGAAAGGAUGGUAAAACAGUGUGACGAGAGAGAAAAAGGUGGGGGGAUCGGGAAACUCUGUUAGGAGGGACAAACAGAUGUGGAAGGAGCUGUGGACAGCGCGACGGGAGGGGAGAAGGAAGGAACGGCUAACUACGUG